CCGCCCCCGGACGCCCAGCCGCGGUCCCAGCGACCUUCGCUUUCGUGGGGAAGCCGGACUGCGCCGUGUCUUCCUGAAGAAGGCUGGGGGAUCAGUGUCCUUCAGUGAUGUGGCUGUGGGCUUCACCCAGGAGGAGUGGCAGCAUCUGGACUCUGCUCAGAGGACCCCGUACAGAGACAUGAUGCUGGAGAACUACAGCCUCCUCCUCUCAGUGGGAUAUUGCAUUACCAAACCAGAGGUGGUUUGCAAGUUGGAGCAUGGACAGGUGCUGUGGAUAUUAGAGGAAGAGUCCCCAAGUCAGAGCCACCUAGACUGCUGCAUAGAUGAUGACCUGAUGGAGAAGAGACAGGAAAAUCAAGACCAGCAUUUGCAGAAAGUUGAUUUUGUCAACAAUAAAACACUGACUAUGGACAGAAAUGGUGUAUUAGGAAAAACAUUUUCUCUUGACACAAACCCCAUUCUAUCAAGAAAAAUACGUGGCAACUGUGACUCAUCUGGAAUGAAUUUGAAUAAUAUUUCAGAAUUAAUUAUUAGUAAUAGAAGCUCCUUUGUAAGGAACCCUGCUGAGUGUAAUGUACGUGGGAAAUUUCUCCUCUGUAUGAAGCGUGAGAAUCCUUAUGCCAGAGGGAAACCUUUGGAAUAUGAUGGAAAUGGGAAAGCCGUCUCUCAGAAUGAGGACUUAUUUAGGCAUCAGUAUAUUCAAACUCUUAAGCAGUGUUUUGAAUACAAUCAGUGUGGGAAGGCUUUUCAUGAAGAGGCAGCCUGCAGUACCCAUAAGAGAGUGUGCUCAUGGGAGACCCUGUGAAUAUAAUGAACAUGUGAGAGCCUUUUCCGAUAGACCAAUAUUCAUUGUUCAUCAGAGAACUCACAUAAGGAAGAGUCACCAUGAAUUCAAUGAAUGUGAGAGGAGGUCUGGUGAGAGGCCACCUGUAAAUAAACACCACAGGGUUAUGGAGAUGAAAUACUAUGAGUGUAAUGCGAGUGAGAAUAGUUUUGGCAAGAAAUCACUCCUCAUUCUACAAAGUUACAGAGGAGAGAAAACUUGACUGUAGUAGACAUUUGGAAGUAUUCUGCAAGAAGCCAAAUUUCACUCAACAUCAAGAAACACAUAUAGGAAAGAAUGCCUAUAAAAUUAAUCAGUAUGCUAGUACAUUUUGCUGUAAGCCAAAGCAUUCUGUAUAUCAGAAAACAGAUACAGAAGAAAAACUCUAUGAAUGUAGUGAAUGUGGGAAAACCUUCAGCCAUAAAUCCUCUUUUAUCCUACAGCAGAGGAUACACAGAGGAGAGAAACCCUAUGAAUGCACUGAAUGUGGGAAAACUUUUGGAUAUAGGUCAUGCCUUGCAGUACAUCAAAGAACACACACGGGACAAAACCUAUGAAUGUAAUGAAUGUGGAAAAAACUUCUGUGAGAAGUCAAAUCUUCAUGUACAUCAGAGAACACACACAGGAGAGAAACCCUAUGGAUGUAAUGAAUGUCAGAAAGCCUUUGGUGAUAGGUCAGCUCUAAAAGUACAUCAGAGAAUACAUACUGGCGAGAAACCCUAUGAGUGUAAGGAAUGUGGGAAAACUUUCUCCCAGAAGCCAAACUUCAUUAAUCAUCAGUGAACUCACACAGGAGAGAGACCCUUUGAAUGCAAUGAAUGUCAAAAAUCCUUCUCUGUGAAGUCAAAACUUAGAGAACAUCAGAGAAUUCACACAGGGGAGAAACCCUAUGAAUGUAAUGAAUGUGAGAAAAUGUUCUACCACAAGUCAUCCCUCACAGUACAUCAGAGAACCCACACAGGAGAGAAACCCUAUGCAUGUAGUGAAUGUGGGAAAACCUUCUACCAGAAGUCAUCCCUCACAACACAUCAGAGAACACACACAAGGGAGCAACCCUAUGAAUAUAAUGAAAGCUUUUACCAGAAUCCCAACUUCACUAAAUGUCAGAGAGACAACAUAGAGGAAACCCUUGUCAACAUCCUGAAGGCUCAGAAACCUUCACCUUCUUGGACUCGUUCCAUAGCAGAAACAACCCAGGUUGGGCAUUACCUUUACUCUUCACAUUUUUCCAAGAUCAGUAGAAAAUGAACAGAUCCCAGGUACCUGUGUGGGUUCCCUCAGACCUGGCCCCAGUACUUUUGCCUUUCCUUGGGAGCCAUCUGAUUCACUGCUGGUUUCAGCAGCCACCAACAUGCCAGUGACUCCGCAGUCCUCAGCUUCAUUACGGGCUUCCCUUCUGAGCUCCAGAACCACUCAUCCAGCUCCCUCCUGAAGAUCCCUGCCUGCCCGUUCCACAGACACUUCGAGCACAACAUGUCCGAGACCCCUCUAGCCCUUACCUUUUGCCCAGCCUCUUUCUUUGCACUUCCCAGUCUUUGCAAAUGGCACCUGGAUUUACCUGGAGGCUCAUAAAGAAACUCUGGGAGAUAAUUUCCCCAUCUUUCUUUUGCACCAUGAAUUUGGGACCAAUAUCUCUUAAUGUCUUAUUUUGUAGGAUCAAUUCUUCUUUCCAGGAGUUAGCUAACGUCUUUUGUAAAGAGCCAGAUAGCGAAUAUUUUAUGCUUUGUGGACCAAGAAAUAAAAUCAAGGAUAUAUGUAGGACUUAUUGAGCAAGAGACAGAAGAAAUUUACACAAUUUUUGUUUUGUUUUGUUUUAUUUUGUUUGUUUGUUUUGAUAUGAGGUCUUUGGCCUCACUCUGUUGCCAGGCUGAAGUGCAAUGGUGUGAUCACGGCUCACUGCAGCCUAGACCUCCUAGGCUCAAGUGAUUCUUCCACGUCAGCCUCCUGAGUAGCUGGGACCACACAGCCACCACGCUGCCACAUCCCGCCAUGAGCUGCUAAUUUAAAAAAUUUCUGUGAAGAUGGGGUUUUGCCACAUUGCCCAGGCUACCGCCAGUUUUUGUUGAUGAAAUUCAAAAUAUAAUCAUGAUUGUGUUAUAGUGUUUUGCAAUACAGGUCUACUAAUGAGAAAAGUGGAAUUCUUUUGGGGUGGUUAACAUUUUGCUUAAUUGAGGUUCUUUGUUACUAUUCUAUGUCAUCAAAAUCUAUUGCAAAUCAUCAUCUGCUAAUGUUGAAUUGUAAUGAGCUUUCACAUAUUUCAUCUUUGAAAAUGUGUUUCACAUAGGUACUACCAGUUACUGAUAUCAGUCCACAAACAUGAUUUUAUUUUAUUAUUUUAUUUUAUUUUAUUUUAUUUUGAGAUGGAGUCUCGCUCUAUCGCCCAGGCUGGAGUGUAGUGGCAUGAUCUCGGCUCACUGCAAGCUCCACCUCCUGAGUUCACGCCAUUCUCCUGCCUCAGCCUCCCAAGUAGCUGGGACUACAAGCGCCCGCCACCACGCCCGGCUAAUUUUUUUGUAUUUUUUAGUAGAGACUGGGUUUCACCAUGUUAGCCAGAAUGAUUUCGAUUUCCUGACCUCGUGAUCCGCCGGCCUCGGCCUCCCAAAGUCAUGAUUUUAUUUUUUAAAAAUAAAUUUAAUGUGUAUUUUUGAGGCUUACAACAUGUUAUGGGAUAUGUAUAGAUAGUAAAGUGUUUAGUGAAGCAGAUUAAUGGAUCUGUCAUCUCACAUAGUUGCUUUUGUUGUGACAAGAGCAGCUACAGUUUACUUAAUAAAAAUCUCUAAUAGAAUUUUACUAAUUUUAGUCCUUAUGUUGUACAUUAGAACUCUAAAGGUGUUCAGGCCAGGCGUGGUGGCUCAUGCCUGUAAUCCCAGCACUUUUGGAGGCCGAGGCAGGUGGAUCACCUGAGGUCAGCAGUUUGAGACCAGCCUGACCAACAUGGAGAAACCCCGUCUCUACCAAAGAUACAAAAUUAGCUGGGUGUGGUGUCGCAUGCCUGUAAUCCCAGCUACUCAGGUGGCUGAGGCAGGAGAAUUCCUUGAACCUGGGAGGCGGAGGUUGCGGUGAGCUGAGAUUGCUCCAUUGCACUCCAGCCGAGGCAACAAGAGCGAAACUCCUUCUCAAAAACAAACAAACAAACAACAACAACAACAAAACUCUAGUGGUGUUCAUCCUACAUAUUUAAAAGUUUGUAUCCUUUGACCUACAUUUCCGCAUUUCCUUUACCACCCCUCCAACACCUGUGGAAACCACUGCUUUAUUCUCUGUCUUUGUAUUUGAACUCUUUCUAAAAAUAUGGCUAACAACCUGGCGUGAUGGCUCACACCUGUAAUCCCAGCACUUUGGGAAGCCGAAGAGGGUGGAUUGCCUGAGACUAGGAGUUCAGAUCAGCCUGGGCGACAUGGCGAAACCCUGUCUCUACAAACAGUAAAAAUAUCCAGGGAUCAGUGUCGCUCAAGGACGUGACUGUGGACUUCACCCAGGAGGAGUGGUAGCAUCUGGGCCCUAUUGAGAGGACCCUGUACAUGAAUGUAAUGCUGGAGAACUACAGCCUCCUCAUCUCAGUGGGGUAUUGCAUUAGCAAGCCAAAGGUGGUCUUCAAGUUGCAGCAAGGAGAGGAGGCAUGGAUAUUAGAGGAAGAGUCCUCAAGCCAAAGCCACUUUGAAUUCUGGAAAGUUGACCUGAUGGAGAAGAACCAGGAAAACCAAGACCAGCAUUUGAGGAAAGCUGGUUUUGUCAACAACAAAAUACUGAUGGAAGACAGAAAUAGUGUUUUAGGAGAAACAUUUAAUAUAAAUUCAAACCUUGUUCCAAUGAGAAAAAUACCUGAUAAAUAUGACUUAUGUAUAAUGAACGUGAAUUAUAUUUCAGAAUUAAUUGUUAGUAAUAGAAACUCCUUUGGAAGGAAGCUUGAUGAGCUCAGUGCACAUGCGAAAUUGCUCCUUCAUAUGACAUGAGCAUCCUUAUGCCAGAGAGAAACAUUUUGAGUGUGACAGAAAUGAGAAAGCCAUCUGUUAGAAUGAGGACUUAUUUCAGCAUCAGGAUAUUCAAACUCUGAAGCAAAUUUUUGAAUACCUUGAGUGUGGGAAAGCUUUUCAUGAGGAGGCAGCCUUCAGUACCCAUAAGAGAGUGUGCUUCUGGGAGAAACCUUGUGAAUAUAAUGAACAACUAAGAGCCUUUUCUGACAAUCCAAACCUCCUUGUUCAUCAGAGUACUCACAGAAGGGAAAAUCACUACGAGUUUAAUUGCUGUGGGAGGAGGUCUGUUGGUGAGAAAUCUCUAAAUAAACACCAUGGAGGAAUCAUGGGGAAAAAAUA